rnacentral:rRNA from 1 species
AGUCGAGGGGUAGUUACUUUCGGGUAAUGAGACCGGCGCACGGGUGCGUAACGCGUAUGCAAUCUACCUUUUACAGGGGAAUAGCCCAGAGAAAUUUGGAUUAAUGCCCCAUAGUAUGUAUGAAUCGCAUGGUUUAUACAUUAAAGUUCCAGCGGUAAAAGAUGAGCAUGCGUCCCAUUAGUUAGUUGGUAAGGUAACGGCUUACCAAGACGAUGAUGGGUAGGGGUCCUGAGAGGGAGAUCCCCCACACUGGUACUGAGACACGGACCAGACUCCUACGGGAGGCAGCAGUGAGGAAUAUUGGACAAUGGGCGCAAGCCUGAUCCAGCCAUGCCGCGUGCAGGAAGAAGCAUCUAUGGUGUGUAAACUGCUUUUGUACAGGAAGAAACACUCCCUCGUGAGGGAGCUUGACGGUACUGUAAGAAUAAGGAUCGGCUAACUCCGUGCCAGCAGCCGCGGUAAUACGGAGGAUCCAAGCGUUAUCCGGAAUCAUUGGGUUUAAAGGGUCCGUAGGCGGUUUGAUAAGUCAGUGGUGAAAGCCCAUCGCUCAACGAUGGAACGGCCAUUGAUACUGUCAGACUUGAAUUACUAGGAAGUAACUAGAAUAUGUAGUGUAGCGGUGAAAUGCUUAGAUAUUACAUGGAAUACCAAUUGCGAAGGCAGGUUACUACUAGUGGAUUGACGCUGAUGGACGAAAGCGUGGGGAGCGAACAGGAUUAGAUACCCUGGUAGUCCACGCCGUAAACGAUGGAUACUAGCUGUUGGGCGCAAGUUCAGUGGCUAAGCGAAAGUGAUAAGUAUCCCACCUG